GACGAAGGGGGCUAGCGUUGCUCGGAAUCACUGGGCGUAAAGGGUGCGUAGGCGGGUCUUUUAAGUCGGGUGUGAAAUCUCGGAGCUUAACUCCGAAACUGCAUUCGAUACUGCCGUGCUUGAGGACUGGAGAGGAGACUGGAAUUUACGGUGUAGCGGUGAAAUGCGUAGAUAUCGUAAGGAAGACCAGUGGCGAAGGCGGGUCUCUGGACAGUUCCUGACGCUGAGGCACGAAGGUCAGGGGAGCAAACGGG
rnacentral:rRNA from 1 species